AGAACUCAUUAAUUUGUAAAUUAAUAUCACAUUUUCUGAACUUUCUUUAAAAAGACGUUUUGGAAAACGUAAUAAAAAUGCUUUUUUCAACGCCACGGUCAUGCCACGCCCUCAAACGAGAAUACCGCGGUGUGAGACUUCCUGUUCCUCUUUGCACUGGUUCUUCAGCAGUUGGACACGUGUUUGCGUUGGAUCCUCCUCAAACCAAUAACCAUCAUAAAACAAAAAACAGUCACACCUCCUCUGCCUCCUGCUAUGGACUUCAGGUUCACAUUAGGGAACAGCAGAGGUCGAAGUGCAACAGGCUCGUGAUGCACAGCAUGAAGUUAUACAUUGCCCAAGAGCCAGAUGUAGUUAUAACCAUCAAAUAAUAACCAUGUGUCUCCAUGUAUGUUAAUGUGUUGUGCUUUUAAACAAACUUGUUACUCUUUUAUGACAACUGUUUUGAAAUAAUCA